rnacentral:rRNA from 1 species
GGGACACGUGGUAUCCUGUCUGAAUAUGGGGGGACCAUCCUCCAAGGCUAAAUACUCCUGACUGACCGAUAGUGAACCAGUACCGUGAGGGAAAGGCGAAAAGAACCCCGGCGAGGGGAGUGAAAAAGAACCUGAAACCGUGUACGUACAAGCAGUGGGAGCACCUUCGGGUGUGACUGCGUACCUUUUGUAUAAUGGGUCAGCGACUUAUAUUCUGUAGCAAGGUUAACCGUAUAGGGGAGCCGCAGGGAAACCGAGUCUUAACUGGGCGUUAAGUUGCAGGGUAUAGACCCGAAACCCGGUGAUCUAGCCAUGGGCAGGUUGAAGGUUGGGUAACACUAACUGGAGGACCGAACCGACUAAUGUUGAAAAAUUAGCGGAUGACUUGUGGCUGGGGGUGAAAGGCCAAUCAAACCGGGAGAUAGCUGGUUCUCCCCGAAAGCUAUUUAGGUAGCGCCUCGUGAAUUCAUCUUCGGGGGUAGAGCACUGUUUCGGCUAGGGGGUCAUCCCGACU